AUCUUAAAAUUUUAAAGCUUGACAGAAACCAGCCUGAUUAAACAUCGAAUAAUGACGGAAUAAAAGUAGGCUGAAAUCGUUAAAAGCAUAAUCUGCUGAAAGACUUUUUGAGAAAAUUGAUAGCUGUGUUAUUCUUAACAGACCUUAGUUCAAGAAAAAAAAUCAUGCACAUGUUUUUAGUUAUUCUGUUACUUUUUGCGAUUGUUGGUACUGCUUAUAUGAAAUGCACAACUGACUGCAGGCUUGUCAAAUGCAAACAAGUAUGCGAUAUAAAUGAAAAAGAUAUAAGAGGAAAAUGUAAUUGCUGUGCACUAUGUGUACCUUUGAAUGAAACAUGAUGUGAAAUUUUAUAAAAAUAAUAUUUUCAUGGAUUGCAAUGUUAGCAAGAAGCAGAAGAAUGAAAGAUAAUGUGAUAAAAAAGCUCCCAAAUAAAUAAAUUAUUUGAUUCCAAAGUAA